rnacentral:rRNA from 1 species
GAUGAACGCUGGCGGCGUGCCUAAUACAUGCAAGUCGAGCGAACAGACGAGGAGCUUGCUCCUCUGACGUUAGCGGCGGACGGGUGAGUAACACGUGGAUAACCUACCUAUAAGACUGGGAUAACUUCGGGAAACCGGAGCUAAUACCGGAUAAUAUAUUGAACCGCAUGGUUCAAUAGUGAAAGACGGUUUUGCUGUCACUUAUAGAUGGAUCCGCGCCGCAUUAGCUAGUUGGUAAGGUAACGGCUUACCAAGGCAACGAUGCGUAGCCGACCUGAGAGGGUGAUCGGCCACACUGGAACUGGGACACGGUCCAGACUCCUACGGGAGGCAGCAGUAGGGAAUCUUCCGCAAUGGGAGAAAGCCUGACGGGGCAACGCCGCGUGAGUGAUGAAGGUCUUCGGAUCGUAAAACUCUGUUAUUAGGGAAGAACAAAUGUGUAAGUAACUAUGCACGUCUUGACGGUACCUAAUCAGAAAGCCACGGCUAACUACGUG